rnacentral:rRNA from 1 species
AGGCAGCAGUGGGGGAUAUUGGACAAUGGGGGGAACCCUGAUCCAGCGACGCCGCGUAAGUGAAGAAGUAUUUCGGUAUGUAAAGCUCUAUCAGCAGGGAAGAAAGAAAUGACGGUACCUGAGUAAGAAGCCCCGGCUAACUACGUGCC